GUUAACUUCCUGAAUUGUGUAAUUUUUUUUUUUUUCAGAACUUUACACUUUAUACGCUUUGGAAAUGAAUUGAUGUGUUUGCCUUCCUGUUUUUUACGGUUGUGUGUAUUAAACGAGGAUCAUUUCUCAAUGAAAUGCAGAAAGCACAAGAACAAGUCCAUUAAAGGAUCAUCUUAUCGUCAAAUCAACAGGUGACAGGAGAAAGAGGAAGCUAUGCAAGAGUGCGGUUGACCUCUAACUCCAGCGUUCCUCCGCGGGACCUUCAGACAGAACGGGCCAACACCCAUCCACCUUAAUAAUUUUGCUGUUGCACUGCUCAUAACACCUGUCACUAUCACACAAAACGCCACUUUGAUGGU